AACAAAGAAACGUUAAUUUUACGUCUUAGCCAUCCGAGAGCGGUAGAAUAAGUGUCGCAAUAUAAUAGUUGUGAAUUACGCUAUCCUUUGGACACCCGACUAAAGUACGCAUACUUUUAACAAGUAUAGGGUGACGAGAAUUCCACGAAACUCUCCACAAACAAUAUUCGUUACACUAACGCGCUCGUCUUCGCUUCCGGCAAUUUGCUUAUAAAAUCUUGGAAGAGAGAUCUAGGUACUAAUGUAACGACUGGGCCCGUAUCUAUCAUCGAAAGUAUAAAACAGAACAACUUUACAGUAAAUUAUCCAACUUUAUCAGCAGAAUACAAUCGAAUAUUUACAUGGCUCUUUACCUAGUUCUUCUGACAAGCGUUAUUAUCGGAUCUUUGAUAGGAAGAGGAUCGGCAGAUAUGAAAAAACUCGUACGCCCAAUUGCAUCUUCAGCUUGUCAGACGGGAUCCACUAGAGCA